rnacentral:rRNA from 1 species
CCUACGGGAGGCAGCAGUGGGGAAUAUUGGGCAAUGGGCGCAAGCCUGACCCAGCAACGCCGCGUGAAGGAAGAAGGCCCUCGGAUUGUAAACUUCUUUUAUCAGGGACGAAACAAAUGACGGUACCUGAUGAAUAAGUCACGGCUAACUACGUGCCAGCAGACGGGGUAAUACGUAGGUGGCAAGCGUUAUCCGGAUUUACUGGGUGUAAAGGGCGUGUAGGCGGGUCUACAAGUCAGAUGUGAAAUCUCAAGGCUCAACCAGGGAACUGCAUUGGACAAUGUAGAUCUUGAGUGAUGGAGAGGCAGGCGGAAUUCCGUGUGUAGCGGUGAAAUGCGUAGAUAUAAGGAAGAACACCAGUGGCGAAGGCGGCCUGCUGGACAUUAACUGACGCUGAGGCGCGAAAGCGUGGGGAGCGAACAGGAUUAGAUACCCUUGUAGUC